GAUGAACGCUAGCUACAGGCUUAACACAUGCAAGUCGAGGGGAAACGGCAUUUAGUGCUUGCACCGAAUGGACGUCGACCGGCGCACGGGUGAGUAACGCGUAUCCAACCUUCCCAUAACUAAGGGAUAACCUGCCGAAAGGCAGACUAAUACCUUAUGUAAUCCUUUGAUGGCAUCAGAUAAGGAUAAAAGAUUUAUCGGUUAUGGAUGGGGAUGCGUCUGAUUAGCUUGUUGGCGGGGUAACGGCCCACCAAGGCAACGAUCAGUAGGGGUUCUGAGAGGAAGGUCCCCCACAUUGGAACUGAGACACGGUCCAAACUCCUACGGGAGGCAGCAGUGAGGAAUAUUGGUCAAUGGACGGGAGUCUGAACCAGCCAAGUAGCGUGCAGGAUGACGGCCCUAUGGGUUGUAAACUGCUUUUGUAUGGGGAUAAAGUCAAUCACGUGUGAUUGUUUGCAGGUACCAUACGAAUAAGGACCGGCUAAUUCCGUGCCAGCAGCCGCGGUAAUACGGAAGGUUCGGGCGUUAUCCGGAUUUAUUGGGUUUAAAGGGAGCGUAGGCCGGAGAUUAAGUGUGUUGUGAAAUGUAGACGCUCAACGUCUGACUUGCAGCGCAUACUGGUUUCCUUGAGUACGCACAACGUUGGCGGAAUUCGUCGUGUAGCGGUGAAAUGCUUAGAUAUGACGAAGAACUCCGAUUGCGAAGGCAGCUGACGGGAGCGCAACUGACGCUGAAGCUCGAAGGUGCGGGUAUCGAACAGG
rnacentral:rRNA from 1 species